UACGGAGGGUGCAAGCGUUAUCCGGAAUCACUGGGUUUAAAGGGUGCGUAGGCGGUUCAUUAAGUCAGUUGUGAAAUUCCCUCGCUUAACGAGUGGGACUGCGAUUGAUACUGAUGAACUUGAAUCAGGUUGAGGUAGGCGGAAUGUGACAUGUAGCGGUGAAAUGCAUAGAUAUGUCAUAGAACACCGAUUGCGAAGGCAGCUUGCUGGACCUGUAUUGACGCUGAGGCACGAAAGCGUGGGGAGCAAACAGG
rnacentral:rRNA from 1 species